rnacentral:rRNA from 1 species
AUUGAACGCUGGCGGCAUGCCUUACACAUGCAAGUCGAACGGUAACGCGGGGCAACCUGGCGACGAGUGGCGAACGGGUGAGUAAUGUAUCGGAACGUGCCCAGUUGUGGGGGAUAACUGCUCGAAAGAGCAGCUAAUACCGCAUACGACCUGAGGGUGAAAGCGGGGGAUCGCAAGACCUCGCGCAACUGGAGCGGCCGAUAUCAGAUUAGGUAGUUGGUGGGGUAAAGGCCCACCAAGCCAACGAUCUGUAGCCGGUUUGAGAGGACGACCAGCCACACUGGGACUGAGACACGGCCCAGACUCCUACGGGAGGCAGCAGUGGGGAAUUUUGGACAAUGGACGCAAGUCUGAUCCAGCCAUGCCGCGUGCGGGAAGAAGGCCUUCGGGUUGUAAACCGCUUUUGUCAGGGAAGAAAAGGUUCUCUCUAAUACAGGGGGCUAAUGACGGUACCUGAAGAAUAAGCACCGGCUAACUACGUGCCAGCAGCCGCGGUAACAC